AGUGGUGUACAAGUUCAACACUGAGGUGGGACCUACGUGUCCUGCUCAGCCUUGCCUCUGAACACCAGGGACUGGGGACUAUGGUCUGAGGUGUAGUUAUUAUUAAACACUUGGAAAUUACAGGCCUGAGUCAGAGCAGCCCAGCAGCCUGAAGGAAGAGUCCCAACUUCUCCAAGGCGGAAGAGACCAAGAGGGGAAAUCUGUAAUCUGCGUUCCCAAAACUACCAACAAGAAGGAAGAGGUGGGAAGACCUGUCAUUCCAAGGAAGAGGAGACCCAGACAGAGCCGGUGAGAACAGCAGUCAUGGCAGCAGAGACCCACCUACAGAAGGAACUGGGUACAGACGCCCACCCACCCAUGACCUGGGAGGCUACCAACCCAAAGGAAGAGGAGGGGAGGUCUCAACUAUGCAUGGACAGCAAGCUGCUGGACAGGAAGGCUAGGAAACAUGCACUGUCUCCCAGGCCUAAGGAACAGCCAGUAGUAUCCACAGAGUUGGAAAAUGAGCCAAUAACCAUGUUCCCCCCUCCCACCACUCUCUGCCAGGGUGUGUUCCCUCCUCUCACGAACCUCACACCGAACUCUGUGUUUCCCCCUCCCACUGCGCUUGCCGGUCAGUGUGUGUUUCCCCCUCCCACUGCACUUACGGCUCACUCUGUGUUUCCCGCUCCAAAUGCCUUGUUCUUUCACUGUGGUUCCCUGUCCAAUGGAGUUUCUCUCUCAACCUGCAAUUCCUUCAACUCCUUUAUUGGAGUUCACCUCUCAAGCCAUUCUCCUUGAGAAAGUGUUAUUUCAUCAGACACACUGGCUUGUACUAUAACGUCUGGGACACUACAUGACUUAAAAAUAAAGCUGAACUCAACUACAGCAUUAUGUUCCACAGUAGGUCAGUCUAUGUUCAAUAAACUUUUUGGUUGAGCCA